rnacentral:rRNA from 1 species
GACGAACGCUGGCGGCGUGCUUAACACAUGCAAGUCGAACGGUAAGGCCCUUCGGGGUACACGAGUGGCGAACGGGUGAGUAACACGUGGGUGAUCUGCCCUGCACUUCGGGAUAAGCCUGGGAAACUGGGUCUAAUACCGGAUAGGACUCCUGGCUUCAUGGCUGGGGGGGGAAAGCUUUUGCGGUGUGGGAUGGGCCCGCGGCCUAUCAGCUUGUUGGUGGGGUAAUGGCCUACCAAGGCGACGACGGGUAGCCGGCCUGAGAGGGUGACCGGUCACACUGGGACUGAGAUACGGCCCAGACUCCUACGGGAGGCAGCAGUGGGGAAUAUUGCACAAUGGGUGCAAGCCUGAUGCAGCGACGCCGCGUGAGGGAUGACGGCCUUCGGGUUGUAAACCUCUUUCAGCUAUGACGAAGCGCAAGUGACGGUAGUAGCAGAAGAAGGACCGGCCAACUACGUGCCAGCCGCCGCCGUAA